GCGGGUGUCGUCUAGUGGCAAGACAACAGCUUCCCAAGCUGUGAAUGUGGGUUCGAUUCCCAUCACCCGCUCCA
rnacentral:tRNA from 1 species